rnacentral:misc_RNA from 1 species
AAGUCGUAACAAGGUUUCCGUAGGUGAACCUGCGGAAGGAUCAUUAUCGAGUUUUGAACGGGCUGUCUGCUGGCUCGCGAGAGCAUGUGCACGCCUGUCUCAUCCACUCUCAACUUCUGUGCACUCUUCAUAGGCCGGCUUGUGGGUGCGUUUGCGCACUUGUAGGUGUCGGGCUUAUGCUUUACUACAAACGAUUCAGUCUUAGAAUGUCAUACUUUGCUAUAACGCAAUUUAUAUACAACUUUCAGCAACGGAUCUCUUGGCUCUC